rnacentral:rRNA from 1 species
UACAGAGGGUGCGAGCGUUGUCCGGAAUCACUGGGCGUAAAGGGCGCGUAGGUGGCGCGACAAGUCAGUGGUGAAAGCUCGACGCUCAACGUCGAGUCGGCCACUGAUACUGUUGGGCUGGAGCACUGUAGAGGCUAAUGGAAUUCCGGGUGUAGCGGUGGAAUGCGUAGAGAUCCGGAAGAACACCGGUGGCGAAGGCGGUUAGCUGGGCAGUUGCUGACACUGAGGCGCGACAGCGUGGGGAGCAAACAGG